rnacentral:rRNA from 1 species
GGGGACCCGCACAAGCGGUGGAUGAUGUGGAUUAAUUCGAUGCAACGCGAAGAACCUUUACCUACCCUUGACAUGUCCGGAACUUGCCAGAGAUGGCUUGGUGCCCGAAAGGGAAUCGGAACACAGGUGCUGCAUGGCUGUCGUCAGCUCGUGUCGUGAGAUGUUCGGUUAAGUCCGCUAACGAGCGCAACCCUCGCUGUGUGUUAUAUGUGUCACACGGGACUGCCGGUCUUAAGCCGGAGGAAGGUGGGGAUGAUGUCAAGUCAGCAUGGCCUUUAUAUCCUGGGCUACACACACGCUACAAUGGCCAACACAAUAGGUUGCUAAGCCGCGAGGUGGCGCCAAUCCAUAAAGUUGGUCUCAGUUCAGAUUGUAGGCUGCAACCCGCCUGCAUGAAGAUGGAGUUGCUAGUAACCGCAGGUCAGCUAUACUGCGGUGAAUACGUUCCCGGGGCUU